UAAUGAUGGUGAAGACAUUGGAUUAAAAGCAUUUUAAAGCGUUCCCAUGCUUCAUGGAACGGCUCACCCUCCAUUUGGGAAAAAGUGGCGAUCUUGCUCCUGAGUUC